GUGUUAGAUAAGGUCGAACAUAAUGAAAUGUGUAAAAAUGAUGACAAUAUUACGUUUGGAGACGAUAAUGAUGGUUAUUGUAUUGAUGUAUAACACAAAGGAUUAUGCAAAAGUGAUAAUGAUGAACCAGAAAUGAUUGAAAUUACCCCAAAUAUUUUCGUCAAGAAUAUACAAGCUGUAUCUUCAAAACAAAGGUGCAAUGUUUGCCGCAAAAUGGGCCAUGUUGUGGCUGACUGCUGGGUCAAAGACACAGCAAAAAAAGCUCAGGCCGCAAAAGCCAGAG